ACAUGGACAGUCAACACAAGCCACAGCUGCCCCUGAAUAUUACUGGAGGGAAAGACAUCAGUCAUUCAGGCUUCGGGAAAACCAAGUAAGGGCAGACAGUUGAAAAAGUUGUUGUUAUAAAGUAUCUUUGGUAAGGAUUAUCCAGAAGGCCUCCGACCUCUGGGGGGGCUACAAACCCCAACCAAUCGCGGCCUCAUCCUGCCAUUUUUUUUUUCCUUUUGAUCAAAUCAAAUACAUUUCUCUAGCAUGCAUGUGUUGAAGUACGAGCCAAUGAAUGUAGUUACUUUAAAGGUAUUUCAAAAUACUAUGAUCGGUUUGCUAGCUGUGUAUGAUGACGAGUCAGGUCAGAGGUCAGGUGGUGACCGUGGGAAUUUAGCAGCAAAGCUAGUUGGUCCUGAAAGAGCUUCUUAAAACCUAAUGGGAAACAAAGGUUGGAGCGCUGGAACAGCAAGGGGAAAGGCGAAAAUAAUAAAAGGAUACCAGAGAAACUGAUAUUCGGACAAACACAACAUCUAUAUUGACUUCUUUUUAAAGUUGGCUACUCGGCUUGCUAGCAUUAGCAAAGAUCCUGGAGAGGACGAUGCUAACGUCGCAGAGGAGGAGGACUAACGCGGCAGCUGACACCAGAGGCGGUCGUGAUGUCAGUUAUCCUGGGUGGAAGAAGUGACGAGUUGCCACGGUGUCCAUCCACUCUGAUGCCGUUCAGAAACAAAGUGCAUGUGACCUUCAAACUUCCUGAUAACACCCCACAUCACUGAGCAGUUUCCCCGGUCUAUCACCUGCAAGGUGAUGCCAAUCUGAGUGACACGGGAGCAACAUUUUCACAGCAUCCUCUGAUAACAGCAACUCUUGUUUGUGAAGUUGGCAGACAGAGGGGGUUGGUGAGGCCAUCAUGUAUCCUUGCUGAGAGUCACAGGCUACAGAUUUCUCAGGGUGGAUGAAUGACAUGAAAGUAUAUCCAUCCUGUUCACUGGCAUCAUGUGUCUCUUUUACUUCACAAUGGUGUGUUUCUUUAUCAAAUUAUACGACAGUGUAAUGCUGCUUGACAGGAUUCAGUUUAAUAAACUUAGAUUUUUAAUAUGAUUUUAAUAUUCGUUUAUUUAAACGUCUUUUCUUUACACGGAUUUUAUGUUUUUAAUGCACUAUGUCUUGAAAAUCUAUAACAUAAGCACAAACCCAAGCAAUAACUUAUCAAUAAAAUAUAAAAAAUGCCCAAAAAAUCUAUGUAAUACUGAACAACAAAUGUGAGAUCUGAGAUCAACAGGAAGUGCAGCCUGUGUCUUCGCAUCCAUUUGCCACACCUAAUUGAUCUUGGUUGCAUUAGUGUCUGUUGAGGUGGCUCACAGUCACUUUGGCUUUACCUGCGUCAUCUUCCAGCUAAAAGCAGGGGCUUUCCUUCACUGUCUGUCUCUGGAGCUGGAAAAAUAAUUAGCUGAUGAUAAAGAGUACCUCUGACCUCAUUUGACGAAACUCAAUGGUGUGUGUUGGUUUUGUGCGCUGAUGUGUGCGUGUGUUCUCUCAGUGGAGUAAGGAAGGACCGGAUGAGUGAUCUCAGGCCACUAUAGUGAAAUACACACCCACACAGCACAGAGAUGAGGACAAAGGAUGUUGAGAAUCAAUGAAAACAAAGUCAAGGAUUCAGUGCUCUGUAAUGAAACUAUGAUAUCCUGAAUCGAACUGUCCAUGUUGCUGAUAUUUCUGUGGCUCUUCAGCUGUGUGUCUCCGUGCUGCUGAGCUUUGGUCAGAGCAAACAGCUGUUGCUAGGUAAAGAUGGAUUAUACGGCAGAUCAGUUGCAGACCUGUUUGCACAUGGCCAGAUGAACAAAGGUAUCAGCCAUCAUCAGUUCUGACAAGUUUAACUCGCUGUGAUUAACAAGCCCACUCUAUUUUGAGACAAACAUUGUACAUCUGAAUAAAUGCGUAUUGUAUAAUAGUGCUCUUCUUGUCACGUUUGUUUGCUCUUAAUUCAUACAGUUUGUCCUACAUGAACUGCCCCCACACAACCUCCAUUGUGCCCAGGAGGAAAAAAUAACACCCUCACUUACAACAUCUUUAUCUCUGGAUCAUUAUCAUU